rnacentral:rRNA from 1 species
AGAACGCAGUUGGUGAACCAGCGGAGGGAUCAUUACCAGAGUGCCCUAGGCUCUCCAACCCAUUGUGAACUUACCAAACGUUCCCUCGGCGGGCUCAGCGCGCGGUGGCCUCCGGGCCUCCGGGCGUCCGCCGGGGAAAACCAAACCCUGAUUUAAUCGUAUUGCUCUGAGGGGCGAAAGCCCGAAAACAAAAUGAAUCAAAACUUUCAACAACGGAUCUCUUGGCUCUGGCAUCGAUGAAGAACGCAGCGAAAUGCGAUAAGUAAUGUGAAUUGCAGAAUUCAGUGAAUCAUCGAAUCUUUGAACGCACAUUGCGCCCGCCGGCACUCCGGCGGGCAUGCCUGUCCGAGCGUCAUUUCAACCCUCAGGCCCACCCUUCCGGGGGAGCGGGCCUGGUGUCGGGGAUCGGCGGCCCUCGCGGCCCCCGUCCCUCAAAUACAGUGGCGGUCGCGCCGCAGCCUCCCCUGCGUAGUAGCACAACCUCGCACCGGAGAGCGGAACGACCACGCCGUGAAACCCCCAAUUUUUUAAGGUUGACCUCGGAUCAGGUAGGAAUACCCGCUGACAAAUAC